rnacentral:rRNA from 1 species
GAUGAACGCUGGCGGCGUGCCUAAUACAUGCAAGUCGAGCGAACAGACGAGGAGCUUGCUCCUCUGACGUUAGCGGCGGACGGGUGAGUAACACGUGGAUAACCUACCUAUAAGACUGGGAUAACUUCGGGAAACCGGAGCUAAUACCGGAUAAUAUAUUGAACCGCAUGGUUCAAUAGUGAAAGACGGUUUUGCUGUCACUUAUAGAUGGAUCCGCGCCGCAUUAGCUAGUUGGUAAGGUAACGGCUUACCAAGGCAACGAUGCGUAGCCGACCUGAGAGGGUGAUCGGCCACACUGGAACUGAGACACGGUCCAGACUCCUACGGGAGGCAGCAGUAGGGAAUCUUCGGCAAUGGGCGAAAGCCUGACGGAGCAACGCCGCGUGAGUGAUGAAGGUCUUCGGAUCGUAAAACUCUGUUAUUAGGGAAGAACAAAUGUGUAAGUAACUAUGCACGUCUUGACGGUACCUAAUCAAAAAGCCACGGCUAACUACGUG